UACGUAGGGUGCAAGCGUUAAUCGGAAUUACUGGGCGUAAAGCGUGCGCAGGCGGCUUUGCAAGACACGAUGUGAAAUCCCCGGGCUCAACCUGGGAACUGCAUUUGUGACUGCAUGGCUAGAGUGCGGCAGAGGGGGAUGGAAUUCCGCGUGUAGCAGUGAAAUGCGUAGAUAUGCGGAGGAACACCGAUGGCGAAGGCAAUCCCCUGGGC
rnacentral:rRNA from 1 species